CGUAAGGCGCACCUCCGGCAGCACCUGAUUUUCUAUGAAAUGUCUAGCAAGAGCAUAUAAGUUGGGACCCGAAAGAUGGUGAUCUAUGCUUGUGCAGGAUGAAGUCAGGGGAAACCCUGAUGGAGGUCCGAAGCGAUACUGACGUGCAAAUCGUUCGUCUGACAUGAGUAUAGGGGCGAAAGACUAAUCGAACCAUCUAGUAGCUGGUUCCCUCCGAAGUUUCCCCCAGGAUAGCUGGAGCUCGUAGAGUUUUAUCAGGUAAAGCGAAUGAUUAGAGGAUUUGGGGUUGACACAACCUUGGCCUAUUCUCAAACUUUAAAUGGGUAAGACGUCUGGGUUUCUUAAUUGAACCAAGACAUUGAAUCGGAGCUCUUAGUGGGCCAUUUUUGGUAAGCAGAACUGGCGAUGCGGGAUGAACCGGAAGCUGAGAUAAGGUGCCUAACUACUCGCUCAUUCAGAUACCAUAAAAGGUGUUGGUUGAUGAAGACAGCAGGACGGUGGUCAUGGAAGUCGAAAUCCGCUAAGGAAUGUGUAACAACUCACCUGCCGAAUCAAUUAGCCCUGAAAAUGGAUGGCGCUCAAGCGAGUGACCGAGACUCAGCCGUUGAUGUAAAUGCGAUACGUCAACGAGUAGGAGGGAGUACCGGUGGCGCCGAAGCUUAGGGUGCAAACCCUUGUGAAGCUGCCGGUAGUGCAGAUCUUGGUGUUAGUAGCAAAUAUUCAAAUGAAAACUUUGAAGACCGAAGUGGAGAAAGGUUUCACGUGAACAUCAUUUGGACGUGAGUGACUCGGUCCUAAGCAAAGCGGUAGCUCGUUGGGAUCGGGGCUCUCGCAGCCCCGUCUUGCAAAAGGGAAGCAGGUUAAUAUUCCUGCAGCUUGUUAAGUUGCUGAGCGGUAACGCGUUCGAACCAUCUGACAGCAGCGGAGGCUCCGGGAAGAGUUUUCUUUUCUUCUUGACGUACUUGUUAACUACGGAAUCGGUUUGUCCGGAGAGGUAGUUAACUUGCAGGCAAAGCAGCUGGCCUCUUCAGCUGUCCGGUGCGUCUCCGAUGUUCCUUGAAAAAGCAGGGGAGUAGUUUGCACCAUGGCAAGUCCGUACUCAUAACCGCAUCAGGUCUCCAAGGUUAACAGCCUCUGGUCGAUAGAACAAUGUAGGUAAGGGAAGUCGGCAAAUUAGGUCCGUAACUUCGGGAAAAGGACUGGCUCUUAGGGCUGGGCGUCUGAGGCUCUGUCGCAAAACCCAAUUGGUGAGAGGAACUGGCCGGCCACCUUCGGGGCGCUGGCUGGAUCCUUCCUGCCGAGAGGGCGGCGCGUCGAGUUCCUUUCGGGGUAUCUCUGCGUAUUGAACAGCCAACUGAGAACUGGCGCGGACAAGGGGAAUCCGACUGUUUAAUUAAAACAAAGUAUUGCGAGAGUCAGAAAUGAUUUUGACGCAAUGUGAUUUCUGCCCAGUGCUCUGAAUGUCAAAGUGAUGUGAUUCAACCAAGCGCGGGUAAACGGCGGGAGUAACUAUGACUCUCUUAAGGUAGCAACAUGCUUCGUCAUCUAAUCAGUGAUGCGCAUGCAUGGAUUAACGAGAUCCCCGCUGUCCCUAUCUACUAUCUAACGAAACCACAGCCAAGGGAACGGCCUUGGGGUAGUCAGCGGGGCAAGCAGACCCUGUUAAGCUUGACUCUAGUCUGACAUUGUGAAAUUUCUUUGGAGGUGCAGAUAUACUUGGGAGUUGAAAGUCGCCUGUCAGAUAACACUACUUCUAGUGCAGGUUUACAUAGAU
rnacentral:rRNA from 1 species